rnacentral:tRNA from 1 species
UGUGGGGUAGAGCUCAGUGGUAGAGCGCAUGCUUAGUUAGCAUGCUGGAGGACCUGGGUUGGAUUCCCAGCACCAAAA